UUUGACUAUUCUACUUGCAUCGUUGCGUAGAGCACGACGAAACGAGUCCGUAGACAUGAAGUGGACUCAAAUCGGAGUUGUAACGAAGAAAAUACGGUCAAAAUACUUAGAAGGGCAAAACGGUAACCACCGCCAGUCACCUUCAUAACCACUGCCAUACUCCACUCCGACCGACGGCACCGGACCCAAUCGAACCACCGCCGCUUCCUCUU
rnacentral:lncRNA from 1 species